AAUGGUAUGGCGCUCAAGCAUUCUCCCGAUACUCGACCGCCGGGGCACUACCGACCGCCGAGCGGACUACCUUGUCCGUUUCAGGUCUCGAAGCCCCGGCGAGUAGGAGGGUCGCGGUGGUGUGCGCUGAAGGGUUCGGCGUAAGCCGGCCUGGAGCCUCCACCGGUGCAGAUCUUGGUGGUAGUAGCAAAUAAUCGAGAGAGACUCCCUUGAAGGCCGAAGUGGAGAAGGGUUCCAUGUGAACAUCAGUUGGACAUGGGUUAGUCGCUCCUAAGCCCAAGGCGAAAGCCUGAUCCCACGUUAGAGGCAACGACCAAACGAAGGGGGAA
rnacentral:rRNA from 1 species